GUGCUUGCUUCGUCAGCACAAAUACUCAAAUUGGAACGAUGCAGAGAAGAUUAGCAUAGCCCCUAAGCAAGGGUGACAUGCUAAUUCAUGAAGACUUCCAUAUUUUU